rnacentral:rRNA from 1 species
GUAGGUGGCAAGCGUUGUCCGGAAUUAUUGGGCGUAAAGCGCGCGCAGGUGGUUCUUUAAGUCUGAUGUGAAAGCCCCCGGCUCAACCGGGGAGGGUCAUUGGAAACUGGGGAACUUGAGUGCAGGAGAGGAAGGUGGAAUUCCACGUGUAGCGGUGAAAUGCGUAGAUAUGUGGAGGAACACCAGUGGCGAAGGCGACUUUCUGGCCUGUAACUGACACUGAGGCGCGAAAGCGUGGGGAGCAAACAGGGAUUAGAUACCCUGGUAGUCCACGCCGUAAACGAUGAGUGCUAAGUGUUGGGGGGGCUUCCGCCCCCUCAGUGCUGCAGCUAACGCAUUAAGCACUCCGCCUGGGAGUACGGCCGCAAGACUG